CCUACGGGCGGCUGCAGUGAGGAAUAUUGGUCAAUGGGCGUAAGCCUGAACCAGCCAAGUCGCGUGAGGGAUGAAGGUUCUAUGGUUCGUAAACCUCUUUUAUAAGGGAAUAAAUUGCGGUACGUGUCCCUUUUUGUAUGUACCUUAUGAAUAAGGAUCGGCUAACUCCGUGCCAGCAGCCGCGGUAAUACGGAGGAUCCGAGCGUUAUCCGGAUUUAUUGGGUUUAAAGGGUGCGUAGGCGGUGUAUUAAGUUAGCGGUGAAAGUUUGUGGCUCAACCAUAGAAUUGCCGUUGAAACUGGGAGGCUUGAGUAUGUUUGAGGUAGGCGGAAUGCGUGGUGUAGCGGUGAAAUGCAUAGAUAUCACGAAGAACCCCGAUUGCGAAGGCAGCCUGCCAAGCCAUGACUGACGCUGAUGCACGAAAGCGUGGGGAUCAAACAGGAUUAGAUACCCGAGUAGUC
rnacentral:rRNA from 1 species